CAGAACGAACGCUGGCGGCAGGCUUAACACAUGCAAGUUGACGGGAGUGUGAGAUAGCUGCUAUUUAACAUGAGAGUAGCGCACUGGUGAGUAACACGUGGGAACGUACCUUUUUAGUGGGGGACAACAGUUGGAAACGACUGCUAAUACCGCAUAAGCCCUGAGGGGGAAAGGAGCAAUUCGCUGAGAGAGCGGCCCGCGGAAGAUUAGGCAGUUGGUGGGGUAAAGGCCUACCAAACCUACGAUCUAUAGCUGAUCUGAGAGGAUGAACAGCCACAUUGGAACUGAGACACGGUCCAGACUCCUACGGGAGGCAGCAGUGAGGAAUAUUGGGCAAUGGAGGAAACUCUGACCCAGCCAUGCCCGCGUGAGUGAGAAGGUCUUCGGAUUGUAAAGCUCUUUUGUGCAGGAAGAUGAUGACAGUACUGCAAGAAAAAGCACCAGCAAACUUCGUGCCAGCAGCCGC
rnacentral:rRNA from 1 species